GGGAACGCCUACGCACGCACACACACACACACACACACAGCACUGAGUAUUGUACAUAUAUUGUAUACAGUUCGAUGUGACCGUGGGUUGCCUAGUGGAGCUAAAAUGUCUCUGCUGCCCUCUACUGGUCUCUCACAUGUAUUACAUUUAGAAUUCAACAACAAGUCCAGGGUGUGUGUGUGUGUGUGUGUGUGUGUGUGCGAGAGUGAGUGUGCGAGAGUGUGCGAGAAUGAGUGUGAGAGUGUGCGAGAAUGAGUGUGAGAGUGUGCGAGAAUGAGUGUGAGAGUGUGCGAGAAUGAGUGUGAGAGUGAGUGAGUGUGAGUGAGAGUGAGUGUGAGGGAGUGUGUGUGUGAGGGAGUGUAUGAGAGUGUGUCAGAGUGAGUGUGUGUGUGUGUGUGUGUGUGUGUGUGUGUGUGUGAGAGUGAGUGUGCGAGAGUGAGUGUGCGAGAGUGUGCGAGAAUGAGUGUGAGAGUGUGCGAGAAUGAGUGUGAGAGUGAGUGAGUGUGUGUGAGAGUGAGUGUGAGGGAGUGUGUGUGUGAGGGAGUGUAUGAGAGUGUGUCAGAGUGAGUGUGUGUGUGUGAGAGAGAGUGUGUGAGAGUGAGUGUGUGAGAGUGAGUGUGUGAGAGUGAGUGUGUGAGAGUGUUACCCUCCAGCAGGAUGAGGCCGGUGUCUCUGAUGAUGCGCAGCGUGGUGACCAGCACCAACACAGAAAAUAUAACCCCGACGCUCUGCACCAGGUCACCCAGCGCAUGAAUAAACGCCGCUCGCACCGCUAAGCUGUCGUGAGAGUGCUGACUCUGCCCCCGUCCCUGACCCCUCCUCUGAGAAUGGGCGUGGCCAGCAGAGUGGGAGUGGGAGUGAGAAUGAGAGUGGGAGUGGAGCCAAUGAGAAAGCGGUACACACAUGAGGUUGACGGCCACGCCCACGGCGGCGGUGAUGAGCAUGACGUCUCCGUCAAUAGUGAAGUCGGGACGGAGUGUUCUCUGCACCGCUUCGUUCAGCAGCACUCCG